GACCCAUUAGCUCAGUUGGCAGAGCACCUGACUUUUAAUCAGGGUGUCCGGCGUUCGAGUCGCCGAUGGGUCACCA
rnacentral:tRNA from 1 species